rnacentral:rRNA from 1 species
UACGUAGGGGGCAAGCGUUGUCCGGAUUUAUUGGGCGUAAAGAGCGUGUAGGCGGCCUUACAGGUCAGCUGUGAAAACUCGAGGCUCAACCUCGAGACGUCGGUUGAAACCGUAUGGCUAGAGUCCGAAAGAGGAGAGUGGAAUUCCCGGUGUAGCGGUGAAAUGCGCAGAUAUCGGGAAGAACACCCGUGGCGAAGGCGGCUCUCUGGGACGGUACUGACGCUGAGACGCGAAAGCGUGGGGAGCGAACAGG